ACAUUAUAUAUAUCCUGAACAUAAUGGCUCCCAUAGAAAUAAACUAGUCUUUUGUACACAAACUUUAUUUACUGUGCCACAUUCAUAAUAUAACGACUUGAACCAAGUGCAAACAUUUAUUACACCCCCUGGCGUGUGAGGAGCUCUGCUCCCCCAAACACUUCAUUAUCUAGGAUGACAGGGAACAAGAUUAGACAAGAUGGAUAAUUAGUUUUUUUAAUAACAAAAUCAUACAUUAGAUUAUGAUUAUAAAGUCUUCUCCAGUCACAGCUGUAACAGAACUAAGCAAACCAUUGAUUGGGUUCCUCUUUUAACCCCUGCCUUCCAAGUGCCCCUUGGGGCAGGGGGCUAAUGACUGAUUAGUGGGAUUGCUGCAAGGCACAGGACCAGACGAAUGAAGAGGAGCAAAAGGUUUGGAAAUCAACAGCCUGGUAUCCUUUGUAUUGAUACCCCCUUGGUUUCUCUUACUCGGAAAAUAUGUUUGGUAGUUUUUAUGUCACAUCUAAUUGAUAGGUAAUAUUAAAAGGUAUCUUAAAAGAGGUUUAUUUUUACAACUGCCUGGAACUUAUUGGGGAACUUUAAGUAACCGGUGAAAAACAACGACUUAAUUAAAAAAAAAAAAAAAAACAGUAACAGCAAAAUCUGAGAGUAAAUUUGCACCCUGGGUGGCAGCAUAUGGAAGCAAAAUAAUUAGUUUUUGGUCGACCUUGAUGAGUGCUGGUGUGUGCCAUCGAUCUGUUCAGUCUAGCCACAUCCAUGGGACCAUCAUCACUUAUCACUGCUUUCCUUAAUGACCAGCUCAGAAAGAUGAAGGAAGAAGCUUAUGACUAAAUCAAGGCGGAGGUAUACAGAUGAACCAAAUCUCUAUUUUAGAUUGUUUUAGGGAAAAACAAAUAAGAAAAGUACCCUUAAAACAAAGAGCCUUAUUUAAAAUUCUAGUAAGUCAGGUUUUAUCAGGAACGAUCUAAUAUGUUUUUCUAUCCGUUUGCUGUUUAAACUAGUCUCAAAAGUCCCCAAAUUAUGCAGAUGACAAUCCCAAACAGAGUAAGUUUCACAAUUCUAAAACGGUGAUAUCAAUAAAAAGUUAAAAAAAAAGGGGGGGGGGGUAGGGAUGAGGCCAUUACAUGGGUGUGAGUACUUAAUAGGGAGAUUCAGGUAUCAUAGGAAUAUCACCUAAACUGAACUGAUUGCUUGAAUUGGAAGUCCAAUCGGGAUAUCUAGAACUCAAAAGAGAUUCUAAACCUGGGAUAUGAUAAAAUGUGGUGCUUUCCAUGAUGUGACAUUCUUCUCAUCCACAUCUUGAAAUCCCAGAGUUUCAGGUUUGCUCUGACCAACAUUUACCUACUUGAUUUGUAGCUUGAACUUAUUAUCUAGCAAAGGGCCUCUCUAGCAGUCACUCGUUUCCUCAAUUACAGCGGAAUGUGGGGGUACAGCAGUUGCUUCCCUGAUGGGCCUUGGGUCCUCUCUCAGCCGUCUGACCGUCUGACUGAUGCGCCCAUGGUCACCUAGUGCUUGGCCUUCCUGCUUCUCUGCUUGCAGUACCUUUGCGUUGCAGAAUUGUCUUAUUUUCAGGCUGUUCAGGGAAGUGCCAGUAAGUACAGACCAGAACCACUUUAAAUCAUAUUUAAAGCUUCACCGACUGCGGGAGGACAGACUUCCAAGGGGAAGACCACGGAAUUCAGAUGAAAUUCUAAUUAAAAUUAAAGGCCUGGGUCUCAGGACGCAGAUAAAAAAAGACCUCAAGAUGAAUGCACAGGAAAAAAAAUCAGUAACAAAGGGAAUAACUGUACUACCUCGAGGCAAGCCACCUAUGGAUUUCAAAUGGAAAUUAAAGGCAUCGAGAAUCCGAGGGAGGGUGUUGCUCCAGUGGAAGGCUAAAGUCUAGGGGUUAGGGGGUUCACUGAAGGGAAAUUUCUCUUCAAACCCUACGGUACACAUAAUGUAGGGCACUCAGGUAGGAGGAGGGAUGAGUUUCAAAACUAAAACACCGUUCCACCUAGUGGACACUGCAGGCUUCUCCCUCCGGCUCUCAGGGCAGCGGUGGUUGAGAGCGGACUAGCCACCGAUUAGGGAUGCUUGGCUGAGGAGAGAAAACACGAAAAUCAACACCUCGUAACGAAACGUAAGAUGUCCAUAGCCUUGUUAUCAGAGUUUAAAAUAGCGCUUAAAAUCCGAUGGUAAGAGUCUAAGAAUAAAAUAUAUGUCAUUUUCUAAUUCUCUAGGAAAAGCUCCAUCAGGAGAUUUUUUUUAAACAUACAGGCAUUUUUAUAUAGUCGUCUACGUGCAGAAACUCAGGAACACUGAUGCAAGUUUCUUACAAAAGCCUCUGUAUACUGGAAGAAAAAAACAAAACAAAACAAAUCCUCAAGUAGGUAAAAGCAUAUUUCUGCCCCUACCCCCACCCUGCCUUUGUUGGGAUGGAUAAAAUCCUUAGCUUGUUUUUUUUGUUUUUUGUUUUUUUUUAAUCUCUGCCAAAAGCAAGGCAAAUGCCUAAGACAUAUCACACAGGAGCACUUGAUGAGAAUAUAAAAUAUGGUUUUGCAUAGAACUCAUACAAACAAUGCAAAUAAGCUACUAAGUACCCUUGCUUGUGCUCCCAGUGGGGUCCCACCGCUGCCCAUGGGCCAGGCGCAGCACAGCAACGCGGGCCACACUGGGCCGCCCUCCAACCCAGCUGGGGGGCCGGUGGCUCCUAAGCCCACGCACAAACCCCACGUGCUUUUCGUUAUUACUCCCUUCUAAGGUUUUAACACUGAUGCCAAGGGUUCAAAUCAAGUACAGAUAUUGCCAAAUAACAGGGCACACCGUGAGGUGAGGUGCAAGAGGGUUUAUUAUCUGGUGGCGGGACAGGAACUGGACGAGCGACGUGAACACACACCUCUGCCGAGCACGCCUUUUGCUUCUUGCCCUUGAGACAGACCAGACCGUCGCCAACGUUCCAAGUAAAGCAGGUGCAGUCUACUCUGCAAAAAUCCCCUUCCGUCCGCCUUCUACGCGUUCUGAUCCCAGAAAGCGAAUCGUGCCACGAUUCGAAAGAGCUGUCCCUCACAUGAACCUAUGCGCACACAUUGAAAAAAUGAUUUAUUUGUACAUCUUUGCAUUUCUUAAGGCAUGAACAAUGGCGUACAGAUGGAACGGGGUUCUGAGAAGUAUCACAUCUUUGUGGACAAGGUCAGUAACAAGUACACCACGUCAAACAGACACACUCGAGGUCGGAGCUGAUCGACUGGCGUCCCCGGGACCCCCCGCGCGAGGGGCCAGCGCUUCGG
rnacentral:lncRNA from 1 species